GCCAAUACUGCAAGUCGAGCGAACUGAUUAGAAGCUUGCUUCUAUGACGUUAGCGGCGGACGGGUGAGUAACACGUGGGCAACCUGCCUGUAAGACUGGGAUAACUCCGGGAAACCGGAGCUAAUACCGGAUAACAUUUUCUCUUGCAUAAGAGAAAAUUGAAAGAUGGUUUCGGCUAUCACUUACAGAUGGGCCCGCGGUGCAUUAGCUAGUUGGUGAGGUAACGGCUCACCAAGGCAACGAUGCAUAGCCGACCUGAGAGGGUGAUCGGCCACACUGGGACUGAGACACGGCCCAGACUCCUACGGGAGGCAGCAGUAGGGAAUCUUCCGCAAUGGACGAAAGUCUGACGGAGCAACGCCGCGUGAGUGAUGAAGGCUUUCGGGUCGUAAAACUCUGUUGUUAGGGAAGAACAAGUACAAGAGUAACUGCUUGUACCUUGACGGUACCUAACCAGAAAGCCACGGCUAACUACGUGCCAGCAGCCGCGGUAAUACGUAGGUGGCAAGCGUUAUCCGGAAUUAUUGGGCGUAAAGCGCGCGCAGGCGGUUUCUUAAGUCUGAUGUGAAAGCCCACGGCUCAACCGUGGAGGGUCAUUGGAGACUGGGGAACUUGAGUGCACAAAAGAGAAGCG
rnacentral:rRNA from 1 species